rnacentral:tRNA from 1 species
GCCUGGGUGGCGGAAUGGCAGACGCAUCGGACUUAAAAUCCGAUGGCUUAACGGCCGUAAGGGUUCGACUCCCUUCCCAGGCA